UACAGAGGUCUCAAGCGUUGUUCGGAUUCAUUUGGCGUAAAGGGUGCGUAGGUGGCGCCGUAAGUCGGGUGUGAAAUUUCGGAGCUUAACUCCGAAACUGCAUUCGAUACUGCGGUGCUUGAGGACUGGAGAGGAGACUGGAAUUCAUGGUGUAGCAGUGAAAUGCGUAGAGAUCAUGAGGAAGACCAGUGGCGAAGGCGGGUCUCUGGACAGUUCCUGACACUGAGGCACGAAGGCCAGGGGAGCAAACGGG
rnacentral:rRNA from 1 species